GGGAUAUUUAAGUUUUAUAGAUUCAGAGGCUCAUUCGAGCGGGUUAAGUUCUCCGUGGCAGGUAGUUUAACUUGUAGAAGAAGAACUGAAUUGGAGCAGAAGGCAAGAGAACAUUGUCCCUCUCCGACAGUGCUGAAACUGAUUAAUUCUUGUUCAUUUAUCGCUUUUCUUGUUGACCUUAAUAUAAGAAUUUUCGGGUCUGUCUCAUAAGCCAUUCUUACUUCCAUGCUUCAAAGA
rnacentral:misc_RNA from 1 species